rnacentral:rRNA from 1 species
GACGAACGCUGGCGGCGUGCCUAAUACAUGCAAGUUGAGCGCUGAAGGUUGGUACUUGUACCAACUGGAUGAGCAGCGAACGGGUGAGUAACGCGUGGGGAAUCUGCCUUUGAGCGGGGGACAACAUUUGGAAACGAAUGCUAAUACCGCAUAAAAACUUUAAACACAAGUUUUAAGUUUGAAAGAUGCAAUUGCAUCACUCAAAGAUGAUCCCGCGUUGUAUUAGCUAGUUGGUGAGGUAAAGGCUCACCAAGGCGAUGAUACAUAGCCGACCUGAGAGGGUGAUCGGCCACAUUGGGACUGAGACACGGCACAAACUCCUACGGGAGGCAGCAGUAGGGAAUCUUCGGCAAUGGACGAAAGUCUGACCGAGCAACGCCGCGUGAGUGAAGAAGGUUUUCGGAUCGUAAAACUCUGUUGGUAGAGAAGAGCGUUGGUGAGAGUGGAAAGCUCAUCAAGUGACGGUAACUACCCAGAAAGGGACGGCUAACUACGUG